ACCGCUCCGGGUGAUACGGAGCCCGUCACCGCCGGCGUCGGGCUUCGGGGUUCCGCUCUUCGGCGUGGUUCCGGUCCUCGGAGCGGCC
rnacentral:tRNA from 1 species